GAUGAACGCUGGCGGCGUGCCUAAUACAUGCAAGUCGAGCGAACAGAUGAGGAGCUUGCUCCUCUGACGUUAGCGGCGGACGGGUGAGUAACACGUGGAUAACCUACCUAUAAGACUGGGAUAACUUCGGGAAACCGGAGCUAAUACCGGAUAAUAUAUUGAACCGCAUGGUUCAAUGGUUAAAGACGGUUUUGCUGUCACUUAUAGAUGGAUCCGCGCCGCAUUAGCUAGUUGGUAAGGUAACGGCUUACCAAGGCAACGAUGCGUAGCCGACCUGAGAGGGUGAUCGGCCACACUGGAACUGAGACACGGUCCAGACUCCUACGGGAGGCAGCAGUAGGGAAUCUUCCGCAAUGGGCGAAAGCCUGACGGAGCAACGCCGCGUGAGUGAUGAAGGUCUUCGGAUCGUAAAACUCUGUUAUUAGGGAAGAACAAAUGUGUAAGUAACUAUGCACGUCUUGACGGUACCUAAUCAGAAAGCCACGGCUAACUACGUG
rnacentral:rRNA from 1 species